GGAGAGAUGGCAGAGCGGUUUAAUGCGGCGGUCUUGAAAACCGUUGUACCGAAAGGUACCGGGGGUUCGAAUCCCUCUCUCUCCG
rnacentral:tRNA from 1 species